rnacentral:rRNA from 1 species
CCUACGGGAGGCAGCAGUGAGGAAUAUUGGUCAAUGGACGAGAGUCUGAACCAGCCAAGUAGCGUGAAGGAUGACUGCCCUAUGGGUUGUAAACUUCUUUUAUCAAGGAAUAAAACGAGGCACGUGUGCCUUUUUGCAUGUACUUGAUGAAUAAGGAUCGGCUAACUCCGUGCCAGCAGCCGCGGUAAUACGGAGGAUCCGAGCGUUAUCCGGAUUUAUUGGGUUUAAAGGGUGCGGAGAUGGGUUGUUCAGUCAGUGGGGAAAGUUUGCGGCUUAACCGUCAAAUUGCAAUUGAUACUGGCAGUCUUGAGUACAGUUGAGGUAUGCGGAAUUCGUGGUGUAGCGGUGAAAUGCUUAGAUAUCACGAAGAACCCCGAUUGCGAAGGCAGCUUAC